UCCUGAGACAAUAGACAGUUUACCGGGAAGUUACAUGGCUACAUGAAUCUUCACAGCCAGGGGACUGUAGCAGUGGAACAGCUCUGAUCCAGAAGGUAACCCGAUCACCAGACGAAGGCAGACAAGACGGACUUUUCAGAGGGCAAGGAUGGGAUCCAGGAGUUCAGAAGGAAUCUAACUCAAUGGGAGCUCAAAGUUUGCCACUGGAAUCCACUCCGACCCCUUUGCCUCCAGCACUGUCACCUGGAGACUGCUCAGGUCACUUCUCACCUGACCCCAGAUUAAACCCAAGAAUCUGGAGGGAUGGAAAACUGAAAACAAGAGUGAGGCCCAUCCUCAGAGAGCGAGGACUGAGCCCAGCCAAAGGGUCUGGGAUCUGGGGAUAGAGGUCACCUGUUCUGAAUGUGGGAAUGCUUACCUAGUCCCCAAGAUUGGAAAUUGAAUCCCAGCUGGCCUGUUGCUUGAACAUGAACUUGCGUCGAUCAUUGUACCUCCCUGACACACAUAUAUAUAUUUUUUCAUUUGUAUAGUAAUGUUGAAAAUCACGAAGUAGAGAAAAUUGUAUUCCAUGACUGUAAUAAUCACGUCAAAAUGAAACCCCAUGUUAUGUAUAACGAUAUGAAUGCACUAAUGAAAACAUUAAAAAGAGAGAGAAAGAAAA